AAAAACAAAAAUUUACUUUACUCUCCUUUUCUUAUUCACAAAGCCAAUAAUUCCGAGUCCCUGCACCUCUGCUUUCCUUUCAUUCUUCUUGCCUGAGAAAACCCACAAAUAAUCCCAUUAAAAAUCCUACUCGACCUCUUUUUUCCUUUCCUCCGUGAAAAAGCAUCCCUCCGUGAAAAAUCAAAUUUACGUCUUUUUGAUUUUUUCUGUGUGAAUUCUUAGCUAAUAUUGCUGUAUCGGUGGCCUUGAUAUGUAAUUGGUGCUUUGUAGGGUAAUUUGCAAGUUGCAAAUUUAUAUGUUGGUACCGACAGUGUAGAGCUCAAAGGCCUGAAAUAAUUGCUGAAUUGAAUUAUUUGUUAAGGCAUUGUAUCUGCAAGUUGCAAGUGUAUAUUCUUUUCUCAAAGAAGCCGUUCCUGGUGUUUUUAGAAUCCUCUGGCUACUCUCAAGAAGAUGUGCUCCUUCAGAAGGCCAAAGCUGGGGUAUGUAUAGCUUCAAAUCAUUCUUAAUCAGAAUGCUUAAAUCACCUUGAAUCAGGCUUUUCGAUCUAGAUUCGGAUGUGGGUUAAUAUCAGUUACUGAGUAGUAUAAUGCUUGCAGCUCCUGAAGCCUACUUUCACAAUUAUAUGUGAUAAAGAUUCAAAAUGCUUCCUUUGAUAAAGAUUCAAAAUACUUCCUUUUAUUGAUUCGUGGAACCCAUAGCAUCAAAGAUACACUAACAGCAGCUAGUGGUGUAGUGGUACCUUUCCUUUCUUUUAUUUUGCAUGAUGAUGGGAUAAGCAAUUUGGUUCUGGUUUUUGCAUAUUGUGGGAUGGUUGUUGCUGCUCGUUGGAUUGCUCAGCUCAACACUCCAUUCUUUCUUAAGGCUCUCGAUAACUAUCCUGACUACAAAGUUAAGGCUUCUAGGAUCAGUUAGUGUACAAAGGACAUCAAAUAUUCUUGUACAAAAAAGAACAAAUAUUUGCUACAGAUUUGUGGGGUGCAUUCCAGGGCCAGGGAUAUGGAGAAUUUAAUGACAUUAGAUCCAUUACUAUUAUGGUCGAUUAUAUUGUUCCAGCGGUUCUUCAGCAACUUGGCGUGCUGAAAUACAGUUCAAAGCUUGCCAAAUUGAUUGUGGCUAAUAAUGAAAUAGAUUCAGGCAGUGAGGAGGAAGUUAAGCUAUGGACUUGCUCCAUAUAUGCUGUGGAGAGGAUGGAGUUGAUCAAUAAAAAAUUAGGGAAGCAGGUGUUGCUGAAUUCCUUUGACAUUUCUAGCAAUUUAGUACUUGUAUAUUUCCUUUUGGUAUUUCAAUGAUUUUCACUCUUUUUGUUUAGAUCAACCUAUGUCCUUCUAUUUUUUUUCUUUUCCCUUUUUUUUUUUCCCAAUAGUAUAUAUAAUCUUUCUCUCUGUUUUCUCAGUCUCGUUAUUUUUAUUUAUUUAUUUAUUUAUCUAAUUGUUUAAAUCAUAUGACUUUUGUAUUCAAGUGCUUAGUGUGGAGUUAGACCUUUGGCUUUGGUCUUUUAUCAUUCAAUUUCCAUCUCUGCAACACCACCGAACGUUUUCAACAUGUUACUGAGCUCACCAUAUCUGAUGGUGUCCUUAAUUUAUGCUUCUAACUGUAAGAUUAUAGGAACUAGCAUAGUAAGUUUUGGGGCGAAGUCAUUAGAUAGAUGUGUCUAUAAAUUCCUCGCAUCUAUUUUUCUUUUUGCAUUGUAGCUUUUCUUAAUUUUGAGAAGUACUACUAAUAUUAGCCUUGAGUUGAUGAACCAAAAACGUAUUGUUUUAAAAAUUGAACAUUUGAUAUGUUGCUAUUACCUAUUUUGAGAUAUCUGUCACUUGUAUUUUUCUAUUCGCUAUAAAAAAUUAGUGGCUUUGUAA